ACGGGAGGCAGCAGUGAGGAAUAUUUCACAAUGAGCGAAAGCUUGAUGGAGCAAUGCCGCGUGCAGGAUGAAGGCCCUCGGGUUGUAAACUGCUUUUAUAAGAGAAGAUUAUGACGGUAACUUAUGAAUAAGGGACGGCUAACUACGUGCCAGCAGCCGCGGUCAUACGUAGGUCCCGAGCGUUAUCCGGAGUGACUGGGCGUAAAGAGUUGCGUAGGCGGUCAAGUUAGCGAGCGAUGAAAACUAUCGGCUCAACCGAUAGCUUGUUGUUCGAACUGCUUGACUCGAGAGUAUCAGAGGUCGCUGGAAUUCCUAGUGUAGCAGUGAAAUGCGUAGAUAUUAGGAAGAACACCGAUGGCGUAGGCAGGCGACUGGGAUAUUUCUGACGCUAAGGCACGAAAGCGUGGGUAGCGAACCGGAUUAGAUACCCGGGUAGUCCACGCCGUAAACGAUGGAUGCUAAUUGUUUGAGGUAUCGACCCCUCGAGUAAUAAAGCUAACGCGUUAAGCAUCCCGCCUGUGGAGUACGGCCGCAAGGCUAAAA
rnacentral:rRNA from 1 species